GCUAUACAUGCAAGUCGAGCGCAGGAAGUCAUCCGAACCCUUCGGGGGGACGUUGACGGAAUGAGCGGCGGACGGGUGAGUAACACGUAAAGAACCUGCCCUCAGGUCUGGGAUAACCACGAGAAAUCGGGGCUAAUACCGGAUGGGUCAUCGGACCGCAUGGUCCGAGGAUGAAAGGCGCUCCGGCGUCGCCUGGGGAUGGCUUUGCGGUGCAUUAGCUAGUUGGUGGGGUAACGGCCCACCAAGGCGACGAUGCAUAGCCGACCUGAGAGGGUGAUCGGCCACACUGGGACUGAGACACGGCCCAGACUCCUACGGGAGGCAGCAGUAGGGAAUCUUCCACAAUGGACGAAAGUCUGAUGGAGCAACGCCGCGUGAACGAUGAAGGCCCUCGGGUCGUAAAGUUCUGUUGUAAGGGAAGAACAAGUGCCGCAGGCAAUGGCGGCACCUUGACGGUACCUUGCGAGAAAGCCACGGCUAACUACGUGCCAGCAGCCGCGGUAAUACGUAGGUGGCAAGCGUUGUCCGGAAUUAUUGGGCGUAAAGCGCGCGCAGGCGGCCUCUUAAGUCUGAUGUGAAAGCCCCCGGCUCAACCGGGGAGGGCCAUUGGAAACUGGGAGGCUUGAGUAUAGGAGAGAAGAGUGGAAUUCCACGUGUAGCGGUGAAAUGCGUAGAGAUGUGGAGGAACACC
rnacentral:rRNA from 1 species